rnacentral:rRNA from 1 species
CCUACGGGAGGCAGCAGUGAGGGAUAUUGGUCAAUGGGGGAAACCCUGAACCAGCAACGCCGCGUGAGGGAAGACGGUUUUCGGAUUGUAAACCUCUGUCCUCUGUGAAGAUAAUGACGGUAGCAGAGGAGGAAGCUCCGGCUAACUACGUGCCAGCAGCCGCGGUAAUACGUAGGGAGCAAGCGUUGUCCGGAUUUACUGGGUGUAAAGGGUGCGUAGGCGGCCCUGCAAGUCAGAAGUGAAAUCCAUGGGCUUAACCCGUGAACUGCUUUUGAAACUGUAGGGCUUGAGUGAAGUAGAGGUAGGCGGAAGGUAGGGUGUAGCGGUGAAAUGCUUAGAGAUCAUACAGAACACCGAUUGCGAAGGCAGCUUACCAAACUAUAUCUGACGUUGAGGCACGAAAGCGUGGGUAGCAAACAGGAUUAGAUACCCAAGUAGU